UCGUUAAUAUUUUUUUUAGAGUUUGCAAAAGCUAUUCAAAAUCAGAUUGUCUACAAUACAAAGAAUGCAAAACAUGUAAUAUCAUAGGAUUUAUUUGAUAAACAAUGAAUGAUAUUUUUUCAUUUCAUGUUCUAAUUUUAAUUCACUUUUUUCUAUUUUGUUGUGACAGAGACAGCAUGGCUGAAUAUAUUCACCAUCUCCGCCAGCUUGAUCGGAACAGAGAGUUGAUAGGCAGACCUCAGAGAGGCCUUCGUGACCCAUGAACCCUUUUGAAGUGUAUGAUGAUGAGUCAUUUCGGACCAGGUACUGGUUUUCCAAAGAGACAGCGCUCUACCUCAUCAACUUGGUGGAUGAAGAGCUGAGGAGGACGACAGACAGAAACGACCCAAUACCUAUACAGGGUCAUUCCAAAAGAUGCAUGGUGAUGAGGCACAACUUUCACAGUCUUCUGUAUGCAGAGUCAUCAAAGACGUGUCAGAAGCGUUUGCAAGAAGAAGGAAACAAUUCAUGAAGUUCCCAACAUCAAGAGAAGAAGUAGAAGCAACACAGCAGCAGUUCUACCAAUACUGCAGGUUGCCAGGUUUUCUAGGUGCAAUUGAUAGGACUCGUGUCUACAUCAGGAGUCCUGGUGGAGAUCAAGCCCUGUAUUUUAUUAAUAGGAAGAACAGAUACUCUAUGAAUGAAAUGAAAAUUUUCCCUUUUUUUGGAGAUGCUCCCCAUUUACUUUUAAUGCAAUUAAUUAAAUGACCGAUAUGGAAUUGGUUCACCCUUUAGUUUCUCUGAACGAAACGUACACCCAUGCAGUACUGUGGUCUGAAACAAUUAGACCGUAUGAUUUGAAAUCUAAUGGUUGAUAUAGUUCCUCCCAAAAACAUUUUUGCAAAAGGUACCAACCACUUUGAAAGGGAAAUCGUCAUCAUCUUCAUCAUUAUCAACAUCGUCACUGAAAUCGUUAUUUGACUGCUUCAUCACCAUCGCCACCGACAACAUUGCUGUCAUCAUUAUCAUCACUGACAUCAUUAUCGACUUCAACAUUGUCUUCGUCAAUAACCUUGAAUACUUGUUUUGAUUAUCCAUAUUAAAUCGUCAAUAUUUAAAUAUAAA
rnacentral:lncRNA from 1 species